AUGGCGUAGGAGUUGUAGUAGUAGUAGUAGGUGAUGUAGUUGUAGUGGUUGGGGGUGUGGUCGUGGUGGGCGUUUCAGUAGUAGUUGUUGUAGAUGGUGUUGGCGUAGGAGUUGUAGUAGUAGUAGUAGGUGAUAUAGUUGUAGUGGUUGGGGUUGUGGUUGUGGUGGGUGUUUCAGUAGUAGUUGUAGAUGUAGUUGUUGUAGGUGGUGUUGUAGUAGUCAUUGAUGUAGUGGUAGAAUGACAGGGGAUCUCACAGCACACUCUGAUCUUAUAGUUUCGACACUUCCUUUUAUAAGGCUGGUCUUGCUGUCUACAGAUCAGUCCAUAGGAGACAUUGCAGGUGACCACUUGCUGUGUGCCGCUCACAAAAUCCUCAAAGCUCAUGUCUGGAAACUCACUCGAUCUGCAGUCGAUCUCUGUAGGUGAAUCACAUAUCACAAGACCACUGUCUGUAAUGUUUUUAUACGUCUCCCAGUCACUUCUGUCGACUUGAUUGUCUGGGUGAUGAACGUCAUACCAAUCCGACCACUCACAGGUGGGGAUGCAUGGUGUGGGAGUGAUGGUAGGUGUUGUAAUUGUAGUAGUUGUAGUGGUUGGGGUUGUGGUCGUGGUGGGGGUU
ensembl:lncRNA